rnacentral:lncRNA from 1 species
AGAAUCCUUUGCUGCAAAGAAGAACGAAAUGCAGCACGGUAAACCCCUGAACACCUUUUAACAUCAGGCCGCUCUCAUGGCAGGAGGAGAUGAAACGAGAUGGAAGUCUCCUACAACCCACGGCAGCCUAUGAUGUUGUGACCUGCACUCCCCGACACAGCUCGAGGCGGCCCCGCAGUGCCGCGCUCUCCCCUCGGGGGUCCCCACCACGUCGGACCGGGGCGCGCAACGCGCCUGCGCCACCGCCGCAGCGCGUAGAACACUGCUGUAGAGCUCUACACGGCGCCGCCGGCGGGAACGGCAGCGCAGCGCUGACCAAUGGGCGCUCGGCCGCCACUGAGGUCAGUUCCGCUGCCUGCCGCUGUGCUCCGCCGAGGUUGCGGCAGCGACGGGGGGCGCGGGUGCGCCCUCGCUGGGGUAAGUAGCGCAGGGCCGUGCGGCCGCCGAGCUGGGGGAGCGGGAGGAAGCGUGCGGCCGGAGACAAGGGGCGCGCGGCCGGCAGGGUUUUCCAGGCGCCACUGCGGGGGACAGCGCUUGUCUCGUUCUCCGAG